rnacentral:rRNA from 1 species
GAGCACGUAGGUGGGUUUGUAAGUCAGAUGUGAAAGCCUUCUGUUCAACGGAAGAAUUGCAUCUGAAACUACAAACCUUGAGUGUAGGAGGGGAGAAUGGAACUUCUGGUGGAGCGGUGAAAUGCGUAGAUAUCAGAAGGAACGCCGGCGGCGAAAGCGAUUCUCUGGCCUAUUACUGACACUCAGUGUGCGAAAGCUAGGGGAGCAAACGGGAUUAGAUACCCCGGUAGUCCUAGCCGUAAACGAUGGGCACUAAGUAGAGGGAAUUACCGAUGUUCUCUCUGCCGUAGCUAACGCAUUAAGUGCCCCGCCUGGGGGGUACGGCCGCAAGGCUAAAACUCAAAAGAAUUGACGGGGGCUCGCACAAGCGGUGGAGCAUGUGGCUUAAUUCGAUGCAACGCGAAAAACCUUACCGGGGCUUGACAUGGUAGAAGUAGGAACCCGAAAGGGUAACGAACGGUAUCCAGUCCGUAGCUAUCACAGGUGUUGCAUGGCUGUCGUCAGCUCGUGUCGUGAGACGUUGGGUUAAGUCCCCUAACGAGCGAAACCCUUGUUUUUAGUUACCAGCGGGUUGUGCCGGGUACUCUAGAAAGACUGCCGUCGUCAAGACGGAGGAAAGUGGGGGAUGACGUCAAGUCAUCAUGGCCCUUAUGCCCCGGGCUGCACACGUGCUACAUGGUCGGUACAAACGGAAGCGAAGCCGAGAGGUGAAGCGGAAUCC